GACGAACGCUGGCGGCGUGCCUAAUACAUGCAAGUCGAACGAGAGCGACCGGUGCUUGCACUGGUCAAUCUAGUGGCGAACGGGUGAGUAACACGUGGGUAACCUGCCCAUCAGAGGGGGAUAACAUCCGGAAACGGAUGCUAAAACCGCAUAGGUCUUCGAACCGCAUGGUUUGAAGAGGAAAAGAGGCGCAAGCUUCUGCUGAUGGAUGGACCCGCGGUGCGUUAGCUAGUUGGUGAGGUAACGGCUCACCAAGGCCGUGAUGCAUAGCCGACCUGAGAGGGUGAUCGGCCACAUUGGGACUGAGACACGGCCCAAACUCCUACGGGAGGCAGCAGUAGGGAAUCUUCCGCAAUGGACGCAAGUCUGACGGAGCAACGCCGCGUGAGUGAAGAAGGCUUUCGGAUCGUAAAACUCUGUUGUUAGAGAAGAACAAGUGCUAGAGUAACUGUUAGCGCCUUGACGGUAUCUAACCAGAAAGCCACGGCUAACUACGUG
rnacentral:rRNA from 1 species